rnacentral:rRNA from 1 species
AUGUAAUUGGAAUGAUGUAAAAACCGACCUCUUCCAGAGAGUUCAUCUGGAGGGCAGGUCUGGUGCCAGCAGCCGCGGUAAUUCCAGCUCCAAUAGCGUAUAUUAAAAUUGUUGCAGUUAAAAAGCUCGUAGUUGAAUUUCUGCUGUAUUGCAUUUUCUCUUUUUAUAUGAGUUUUUGCAUUAUGGCUUAUUUCAGUAUUAAUUUUUUAUUAUUACUGAAUGUUUACUUUGAGAAAAUUAGAGUGCUCAAAGCAGGGUUUUGCCUUGAAUAGUUUAGCAUGGAAUAAUAAAGUAGGACUUUGGUUCUAUUUUGUUGGUUUUAAGUACCAAAGUAAUGGUUAAUAGGAACAGUUGGGGGCAUUCGUAUUUAACUGUCAGAAGGUGAAAUUCUUAGAG